rnacentral:snRNA from 1 species
GGAUGUGAGGGUGAUCUGGCUGCAGCAUCUGUCACCCCAUUGAUCGCCAUGGUUGAUUCAGCUGAUCUGGCUGGUGAGGCAGGUGUCCCCUUCCUCCUUCAGUGCUCCAUGUGUGUCCCUCCUAAAGCUGCAUGCUCAGUCAAAGAUGACAGCCACCCCUGAUAGAGGAGGGGUCAGGGGUACAUGAGGUCAGGAGGGUUCAUUGGUCAAGGGUACACAAGUAACUGCGCUCCCCCUGCCAGAACCUCCAAACAGGCUCUCAAGAUAAAAUCCUUAUAAGCUAAAAUUUUUGUUUUGUAUUUUAUAUUAAAUAUGCAUAAUUAAAAUAAUUAUUAAUAA